UACAGAGGGGGCAAGCGUUGUUCGGAAUUACUGGGCGUAAAGGGCGCGUAGGCGGCCUUCUAAGUCGAACGUGAAAUCCCCGGGCUCAACCCGGGAACUGCGUCCGAUACUGGAAGGCUUGAAUCCGGGAGAGGGAUGCGGAAUUCCAGGUGUAGCGGUGAAAUGCGUAGAUAUCAGGAAGAACACCCGUGGCUAAGGCGGCUCUCUAGUACGGUACUGACGCUGAGACGCGAAAGCGUGGGGAGCGAACAG
rnacentral:rRNA from 1 species